GCUGAUGUCCUGCACAGGUCACAAGCCACAGAUGGUGAUUUACCAUCACCCUGCUUGUGGCUCUGAUUCACUUUAGAUAUUCUGGGACAAAGAUCAAUUUAGUUCUCUCUCUCCAUUCUCCUGUUGUCUCCAGAAGCUUCUCCCAAGUAGCCACAUGGCUUGCUUUCUCAUUUCCUUAGGUUUCCUGCUGAAGAUGGAGAGGAAGAAUUACUGGUGAAAACCAGGACUUGCUCCUUUGCACAGUUGUGGAGAGCAGGCCAUGCCCGGCUGAGCUACUCCAUGAGGUACAGAACAGCAGUUUUCAGGCUGAUCCUUACCCCAAGUUACUCCAGUUUAUAAAGCAUGAGUUUGCCAUGAAUUACUCCAUUUAAAAAAAUAUUUUUAGGGGUAGAUGGACACAAUAUCUUUAUUUAUUUAUUGUAUGUUGUUCUGAGAAUCAAACUCAGUGCCUCGCACAUGCUGGCAAGGGCUCUACCACUGAGCCACAACCCCAGCCUGAAUUACUCCAUUUUGAGUUUAAGUGAUUAGGUGGAAUUACUCUACUCCUUGUUGAUACAAAGCAACCACUAUCCGCCCAGCAAAACCAUAAGGCACAAAAUGGUAAAUUAAUUAUGCUAAUGAAAAUGAGCCCACCUCUGAAUGAAUUAAUCAGAAGCACAUGUAUUCAUGGCCGUAUUAGACUUGUAUCAGGAAAAAACAUGCCCAUGAGUUUUAUCCAACACACAAGAGCACUGAAUGAAGCAACCCGCUUAUCUGAGACCCAUAAAAGGAGGAGCACACCAAGACUGGACACACUGGUACACUGAUCCCCCAUCAUCUGGUUACUCAUCGAGAUCCAUGCCCAGGAAAGUCACACAAAGAUGAGUCUUUGAAUCUGUCUCCUAGAGCUUCAGCACAGUGUGGUUUUUCCAGCCCCUGAUGAUCACACAGGGCCCACUCCCAGCUGAUACUCUGAAAUAGCCAUCAGUCAGGACCCUGGCCUAGAAUAAGUUCCUUAGCUUUGGCUCUGCAGGCCUUUGCAAUUGUAUCUACUCUCUGCCUUUAAUCUUAUUUCAGUCUCCUAAGCCCUGUGGUUGGUUGCCUUAACCCUUUCUUAGCUUUUCAGUUAUAUAUAUAUAUUUGUGUGUGUGUGUGUGUGUGUAAAGUACGAUGUGUGAUUGAUGUGUCACUUGAGUGUUAUAGAUAUUAGUAGUUAAGACUGGAAUAAAAACUUGUGAUUGCUCAGCUUAUGACUACCAGGUGAGCCAUAAAUAUUCAGUGAAAAUGGUACAGCCUAUGAAUUUAUUGUUACUCAAUAAAUUCUGACAUUAUAGAAAGACACAAACAAGUUGGUUCUAUACUAAUGGCAUAGCUUGCUCAUGACAACAGUAUUUUGGGAAACAAGGAAGAAGGAAUUAAAUCUCUCAGUUUAAAAUUUUAUUAUUUUGACUACUAUGUCAUUUAUCAUUUGCUAUAUUCUGGACAUUUUUAAAAGAUUCAAAUUUUUAUUGCUUUCAUUGGACACUUAAUAUCUAUGAAGUAAUAACUAUAAUGUGCAUGUGAGUUUAAAGAAUAAUAAUACCAUGAACACCCAUAUAUGCAGUACCUGGUUUAAAGACAGACUAUUACCAGUAGCCUUGAAGCCACUCUGUGCCUCUGAUUCCUUUCUCCUUCUUCCUUCCCAAAGAUAACAAAUGCCUGAAUUUUAUGUUUAUCAUGCCCUUAUUUUUCCUUAAGAUUUUAUUAUAUAUCACUCUCUAAUCCACCUAUGGCAGCGUUUCCGGUAUUUUUCAAUUUCGUGUAGGUCGAAUGACACUGAAUACAGUUGUGUCACGGGGUUUUAUUGCGCACCUUAUGCUUUUGAAAUCCAGCUGAGUUCCCUCAUUUUCAUUGUUGGAUUCGUAUCUAUUUAAAGAGCAAGCCACACACAGAAAGGCCAAGUACUGCAUGUUCUCAUUUAUAUGUGGAAGCUAAAAAGAAUUAAAUUCAUAAAAGCAGAGAUCAGAAUGUGGUUGCUAGAGGCUGGGGAUGGGGGAGAUGUUCUUGGUCAACGCCUUUAGCCCUUCAGUUAAACAGGCAUGAUAAGUCCUUGAGGCGACAAAGAUGCCAUCUAGCUGAUUCAGUCAUUCCACGUUGUACGCAUUUCUCAAAGCCAUCGCUUUGUACUUCAUAAAUGUAUACAAUUUAUCAAUGUCCAUUAAAAAAUAAAUUUUUUGAAUAACAGGCCACCAUCUAC
rnacentral:lncRNA from 1 species